rnacentral:pre_miRNA from 1 species
GUCCAGUGCACUUAUAUGUUUUCGUGAUGAACGUUUGCUAUCCGUUUUAUUUGAAAUUCUUUUGUUAAUAUUUUUAUUGUUAUUAGAUGGUAAAACAUGAAUAUUACUUUAUGUAUAACUUAUCUUUCUAUUUUUUUUUAUAAAUUUUUCAAAUAUGAUAAAUGAUCAAAUGUUGGACAUAUAAACCCAAAAUUGCACUUUAA